UUUUUUCACUGCCAUAUCUACAAAGCAUAAGCAACAAUUUCUCUCUUCGCAGCCCACACUCUUUCUACUCUAUUGGGAUUUUUUUUUACCAUCCUACAAAUCUAGAAAACAACUUUUUCACAGAAGAAUACAAUACAGAUAUCCAUUUGAAGAAGCGGUUGUUGCAGAUCUAAAGGUAUACGCUCUACAUGCUAACUCAAAAAUAUUAGUAUCAAUUUUUUUCAUUCUAAAUUGCUUUGUUAAUGAUUUUUUGUUUCCACAGAUUCAGAUCGGCGAAUAUAUUAGAUCUACAUAACUACAUUGAAUCACAUCUUACAUCCACAAAAAAAAAGUUAAGUUUCCAAAAAAUGUUAAUCAUCUAAAUCUACAUUUAUGUAACUAAAAAACAUUUCAAUCCUCUAUAUCGCAGAUUUUCGAAGAAGUAGUGUUCAUCAUUUACAUCUACAACUACCUAAUAUAAGCAG
rnacentral:lncRNA from 1 species